rnacentral:rRNA from 1 species
AUUGCCUCAGUAACGGCGAGUGAAGCGGCAACAGCUCAAAUUUGAAAUCUGGGUCUUUCAGGCUCCGAGUUGUAAUUUGUAGAAGAUGCUUCGAGCGUGGCACCGGUCUAAGUUCCUUGGAACAGGACGUCAUAGAGGGUGAGAAUCCCGUAUGCGACUGGCCGCCUUCGUUCAUGUGAAGCUCUUUCGACGAGUCGAGUUGUUUGGGAAUGCAGCUCAAAAUGGGUGGUAUAUUUCAUCUAAAGCUAAAUAUUGGCCAGAGACCGAUAGCGCACAAGUAGAGUGAUCGAAAGAUGAAAAGCACUUUGGAAAGAGAGUUAAACAGUACGUGAAAUUGUUGAAAGGGAAGCGCUUGCAACCAGACUUGCACGCCGCUGAUCAUCUGGGGUUCUCCCCAGUGCACUCGGUUGCGUUCAGGCCAGCAUCGGUUUGGGUGGCUGGAUAAAGGCCUUGGGAAUGUGGCUUCCUUCGGGGAGUGUUAUAGCCCUCGGUGCAAUGCAGCCCACCCGGACCGAGGACCGCGCUUCGGCUAGGAUGCUGGCGUAAUGGUUGUAAGCGACCCGUCUUGAAACACGGACCAAGGAGUCUAACAUCUAUGCGAGUGUUUGGGUGUCAAACCCAUACGCGUAAUUAACGUGAACGGAGGUAGGAACCCUUAAGGGUGCACUAUCGACCGAUCCUGAUGUCUUCGGACGGAUUUGAGUAAGAGCAUAGCUGUUGGGACCCGAAAGAUGGUGAACUAUGCCUGAAUAGGGUGAAGCCAGA